UACAGAGGUCUCAAGCGUUGUUCGGAUUCAUUGGGCGUAAAGGGUGCGUAGGUGGUCGGGUAAGUCUGAUGUGAAAUCUCCGAGCUUAACUCGGAAAUGGCAUUGGAUACUAUUCGACUGGAGGGUUGGAGGGGGGACUGGAAUUCUCGGUGUAGCAGUGAAAUGCGUAGAUAUCGAGAGGAACACCAGUGGCGAAGGCGAGUCCCUGGACAACUCCUGACACUGAGGCACGAAAGCUAGGGGAGCAAACAGG
rnacentral:rRNA from 1 species